UACGUAGGGUGCAAGCGUUAAUCGGAAUUACUGGGCGUAAAGCGUGCGCAGGCGGUUCUAUAAGACAGAUGUGAAAUCCCCGGGCUCAACCUGGGAACUGCAUUUGUGACUGUAGAUCUGGAGUGCGGCAGAGGGGGGAUGGAAUUCCGCGUGUAGCAGUGAAAUGCGUAGAUAUGCGGAGGAACACCGAUGGCGAAGGCAAUCCCCUGGGCCUGCACUGACGCUCAUGCACGAAAGCGUGGGGAGCAAACAGG
rnacentral:rRNA from 1 species